UUUUUUCUUAAACUCUCUUUGCCGACAUCCUCCACCUCUCUAUUUUUUUUUUUUUUCCUUCUUUUCUCAUUUUACUCGUCUUUUUCUUUUUCAACACAAUCUUCUUUCAUUCAAUAGUCCAUCGAAUGUAAUUUUCUCAUCUUUUGACAUCAUGGGUCGGGUUGAACAUUGAUUGUAGGCGGAUUUACAAUUUGGAAGGAGAAGAAGGUUGGGUCAGCUUGUUGGAACGGCGGUGCUGCUGGUGGCUGGAAGUGUAGGAGAUAAAGAUAGAGAGUAGGAGAUGCUGUGACGAGAUGAAAUCGUGGCCAGAGCUUCAAGAGUGCCACCAAAGACAACUUUCUCAGAACUUGAAGCAGUAGGGAGUACUUUGAAAGGAAGAGAUCUUAGGCAGGUUUGAAAUGCAAUUUGACGUAAAAUUAGGUGUAUCAUAACGUUUAGAUCUGAAAAUUUAUCACUAGACAUUAACUUGAAGGAGUUGUCAUCAAUCUUUUUUAUUUAGGUGUGAUUGACCACUUAAGAAAUUUAUCAUUUUAGGGAACGUCUAAGUUUAAGGGUUUCUACAAGAAUAGGUUCGGAUUCACUAAUCAGAACAGGGUUUCGAAAUUUAGUUAUGUAUGAAGAAGGUUAUAGCACCCUCACAACGUCCAUCAAAAGAUGGUACCAGCUUAAUUUUAUGUAAUUUAAUAAGCUUUAAAAUUUUAUCAAGUAAUUAGUUGUUGAAAAUUAUUCUCAAUUGACUCUAAUACUUUUACCAGAAAAUUGAGAAAAUCUCCUCACCUCAAGAGUAUGCAAGAAAACUAUUGUUUUACUUAUAGAGGUUUCAUCGUCGGAUUAUUUAACAAAAAAAAUUCAAAGAAAUAAAAAAAAUGAUCGCUUUUGUACAAGAAAAAAUUGAUACUUUUAACUUUUUUUCAAAAUAUUUAUUUUUGAAAUUUUAAUUUCGAGAAAAAUUAAUACUUUCAACUUUUCUUCAAAAAAUUUUUUCUUGAGAAUUUAUUUUUAAGAAAAAUUGAUACUUUCAAUUUUUUUAAAAAAAUAUUUUUUUGGAAAACUUUAAUUUUGAGAAAAAUUGAUGCUUUCAAUUUUUACUAAAAAAAAAAAUUUUUUUGAAAAUUUAUUUCUAAGGAAAAUUGAUACUUUUAACUUUUUCUCAAAAAAAUUUCUCUUGAAAAUUUAUUUUUAAGAAAAAUUGAUAAUUUCAAUUUUUUCUCAAAAUUUUUUUUUAAAAUUUACCUUUAAGAAAAAUUGAUACUUUCAACUUUUCUUCAAAAAUAUUUUUUUUGAAUUAUUUUAAAAACGUAAUAAAAUAAAAUAAACAAAGUAAAAAUGAAAAUAAAUAAAAAUAAAAAUAUUAAACAAUUUUAAUAUAAUAAUAAUAACAAUAAAUAAAUAAAUAAAAUGAAAAAAAACCUGAGAACGGUUCGGCUUGAGAAAGAAAAAAUGGCUUGGAGACGCGGCUUAGAGGUGUCGGCUCGGCUCGACUAACGGCUUGAGACGCGGGUCGCACGUGGAUCGAAAGCAGGUUGGCGUUCGGGUCGGGUCGGAUCUUGAUAAAACGUGCGGAUCCUUUGGGUUACUUAACGCAAAAACGACGUCGUUUUAGGAGGGUAUAUAAGGUUGAUUCUUUCAUUUUUUCAGCAGAACCCUUCUUCUCUUCUCUCUUUUCCCUUCUUUUUUCUCUCUUUUCUCUUUAGAAUCCGAAGAACUCCGAUUGAAUAUUCACUGGAUUCUAAAAAUUUUCGUCGAAAUCUGAGUUUUUCGUCGAAAAUUGGGCAGCUGGCUAAAAAAUUCAAACUUGACCAGAAAAGUCACCAGAAAAUUCAACUUUCGUCAAAAAAUUCAAUCGAAAUCUGAAAACUUUCUAAAAAUUUUCAGAAAAAAAAUCUCAAAAAAUCUUCCAAAAAUUUCCCACCAAUCCCUAGAGCUAUUCUAACACCUCUAAACCUUUUUUCAGCUUUCAAACCUUCUUUGUGUGUUUUUUUUUUCAAUCAGUAACUCUUUUUUAUAUUUUUUUUCUUUUGAUCCGAGGGUCCUUUUAUAAGGAUUGAUCAAAAGAGUUUCUGAUCAAUCUCAACUCCUCUUCGGAUUGGGAUUCAAUCAUUGAAUCCAAUAAGGACUCUAAUUGAAUCCCAAUUCACAGUGAGAUUCCUCUAAAACUAACCCAAUCUUCAAUCGAAAAAAAAUCAAAAAAAUAAAAAAUUAAAUAAAAAAUAUUAAUAUAUAAUUAAAUGAAGAUAAUCAGAUAAACCAAAAAAUUAACAGAUAAAUUAACAAUAAUAAUAGAUAAAUAUAUAACUAGAUAAAUAAAAAUAUAUAUAUGAAUAUUAACAGAAAAGAAAGAAAAAAAAUAACAAAUAAAAAAAUAAAAAUAAAGAUAUAUAUAUUAAUAAAUAGUAAUAAUAAAUAAAUAAAUAACAAAUACAUAAGAUACAAAAGGAAAAUAUAUAUAAAAUAUAAAAUAAUAAUAAUAAAAUAUAAAAUACAACAUAAAAGCCAAAAUUGGGCCUACACAUUUGGACCAGGCCCAAUUGAUCCGGGCCUGGAUUAAAUUGGGUGUCUACAGCUGUUCCUCUUUGCACAUUUUCUGUGAAACAUAAAUUGCGUAAAGACGUAGACACCCAUUUAAAACUCAACUCGACCUUUUUUUUUUAUUUUUUGUGUUUAAGAUUUGAUCAAGGCUCCUCUAAGCAGAGGCUCAACAACUUUGAAAAACAUAAACAAUGCUCCUCUAAUCAGAUGCUCAACGACUUUAAAAACGAAUAAAGCUCCUCUAAUCAGAGGUUCAAUGACUUUGAAAAAUAAAUAAGGCUCUUCUAAUCAGAGGCUCAACGACUUUUAAAAAAUAAAUGGCUCCUCUAAUCAGAGGCUCAACGACUUUGAAAAGUAAAUGGCUCAUUGACAAUCAUGUCCAAAGGAGUGAAAAAUCGUAUUUGAAAGAAUUUCAGGGGAUUAUGCCCAAAGGUCUUAUAAAUCAACUCUAAUACCAAAAGACAUCCUAUUUCAAGGAUUAGGAACUUACCUGACAAGCUUUUUCUCAAAUUUGAAAAUAUCUUCACAUCUAUCUUCUCUCUGUGAGAUUUUGGAAUACCCCUUGCUUUUUGAAUUUAUGUAGUAUGUGCUAUGCAAUGUAUAUGAAGUUCAAUGCAUGUUAUGCAAAUGUUGGCUAAUUAAUUCCUAUUCAAUUGUGGUACUCAAGUUUCUCAAGCUCUUUUCUUGGGCAUCAAACCCUUUGAUUCUUCAAAAAUCAGAUUACAUUGCUCUUCUAAGAUCGAGCUAGUGUAGCUCUUAAUUAUCUCUUUCACUCACAUUCUUCCUAUAAGAAAUCUCUUUUCAAAUUCAAUGUCCUUAUCAGGAAUUGAACAUCUUGAUUUUGCCUUUAUCACUCUUGACUUAUUUAAUGUAAUGUAAAAAUCUUUCAUACCAUUAUUCAUUCAUCAAUCAUUAUUUCAAACUCAAAAAGUAAGAAUGCAUUUACACAUUUCUUCCAUUGUAGGGUAUUAAGAGGAAAAGAAUAAGAAUGGUUGAAAAACAGUAAAAAAAAAGACACAAAAAGUGAAAUAGAAUGUCUUUUAUUAGUAAAAUAUUGGCAAACUUUGGCCAGGAAAGAAUUACAAGGAUAAGUGAGGGGACAAAGCCCAAAAAUGAAUAAUCGGAUAAUCAUGAUAACAUAUCUCAAAGUUUUUCUGAAAACCCAACCUUCUGAUGUAUUUAACAACUUGGAGCUGCUCCGAAUUUGCUAGCCUCCAUGCCAACGGAUUUGCUGUAUUCUUCUUAUCUAAGCUACCUUUUUAGGUUUUCAACUUAGACAAACUCCUUAUGACUCAAACUACCAUUUUAGGGUUUUAGCCUUGAGUCCUCCUUUUUCAUUCAUUUUUUUUCUUUUUUUUUUCAUUUUCAUUUCUUUUUUCUUUUUUUUCUUUUAUUUUAAGCAUAGUAUUUCUUCACAGCAUCAAAAUUUAUAGGAUGAGGUAAAUCAUUUUCAUCCAUCUCAGUCAGUAUCAGCAUUCACCCGAAAAAGCUCGUUUCACCACAUACGGCCCUUCCUUAUUCGGGGUCCAUUUUUUUUACUAUUGUGCUGGAUCGAAAGGAUUCUCUUCAAGACCAACUCUCCUUCUCGAAAGUAAUGGGGUUGAAUUUUCUUAUCAUGAGCCCUCAUCAUUCUUCUUUGAUAUAGCUGACCAUGGCACAGUGUAGUGAAUCUCUUUUCUUCUAUGAAAUUUAACUGUUCAUAGCAUUUUUGAAUCCAUUUGACUUCUUCCAACUCAACUUCCUUUAGAAUCCUCAAAGAGGGGAUCUCUACUUUUACUGGUAGUACGACUUCCAUCCCAUAAACCAAAAAAAAUGGAGUUACCCCAGCAGAGGUACGAACUGAUGUUCGAUAUGCAUGUAGUGCAAAUAGUAACUUCUCAUGCCAAUCUUUAUAAGUCUUGAUCAUCUUUUCCAGAAUCUUUUUUAUGUUCUUAUUAGCUGCCUCAACUACCCCAUUCAUCUUCGAACGGUAUGGUGUCGAGUUAUGAUGCUUGAUCUUGUAUUGAGCACAUAUUUCUUGUAUCAUCUUACUAUUUAGAUUCUUGGCAUUGUCUGAAAUAAUUCUCUUUAGAAGUUCAUAUCUACAGAUGAUCUUUCUCUUUAUAAACUUGUAAACCACGGAUCGUGUUACACUUGCAUAUGAUGCUGCCUCUACCUAUUUUGUGAAGUAAUCCAUCAUCACAACAAUGAAUCUAUACCCGUUAUAAGCCUUUGGGGUGAUAGGACCAAUGAUAUCCAUGCCCCACAUUGAGAAUGGUCAAGAUGGCACCAUAAAAUGUAAAGCAGAUGGCGGAGCAUGGAUCUUAUUAGCAUAUAUCUGGCAUUUAUGAUAUUUACGAGCAUAGUCAAUGCAAUCAUUCUCUAUCAUCAACCAGUAAUAUUCUGCUCUCAUGAUCUGUCUCACCAUCAUAUGUCCACUGGUAUGUGCCCCACAUAUUCCAUCAUGCACCUCUUCAAUGAUUUUCCUCGCUUCCGCUUUGUUUAUGUACCUCAAUAAUACUUGAUCUCGACUUUUUUUGUACAGAACAUCCUCAUUCAGAAAGAAGCUCAUAACCAAUCUUCAGAUAACCCUUUUAUCAUUUUUUGUUGCUUAAAUUGGGUAUUGUUGAUCCCUAAUAUACUGUAAGAUAUCAUAAUACCAGGGCUUCCCAUCUUCUUCUUCUUUUACAUUAGAGCAAUAAGUUGGUAUAUCUUUAACAUCUAACCUGAUGGGCUGAAUGUCAGUAUUAACAUUGAUUCGAAUCAUUACAGCCAGAGUAGCCAAUGCAUCAGCAAUUAGAUUCUCUUCUCGAGGUAAGUGGUCAAACUGGAUAUCUUCAAAUUGUUUCAUCAACUCUAGAAUAUACUUAUGAUAUGGAACGAGUUUUGAAUCUCUCGUCUCCCAUUCCCUUUUCAAUUGAUAUAUAACUAGAGUUGAGUCCCCGAACACUUUUAAUGCUCUCACUCUUCUAUCUAUAGUAGCUUGUAAGCCCAUGACACAUUAAUCAUAUUCAGUAAUAUUAUUUGUACAGUUGAAAUUUAACCUUGCUGUUACAGGAUAGUAUUGUUCUUCUAGAGAGAUCAAAAUUACCCCAAUUCCAUGUCCCAAGGCAUUGACAGCUCCAUCAAAAUACAUUCUCCAGCAUUUUUCUCCAUGCUCUCUUUUCUCCAGUUGGAAAAUAAUCAUUAGGUUUUCAUCAGAGAAUUUUAACUUCAUUGGCUCAUACUCUUCCGUAGCACGAUCUGUAAGAAACUUCGCUAUAUCACCUUUUUUUAUUACCUUUUGGCUCACAUAUAUAAUAUCAUACUCUGAGAGCAUUACUUACCAUCUAGCAAUUCUUUAAGAUAAAGAAGAUUUCUCGAAGAUAUAUUUAAUUAGAUCCAAUUUUGCUAUGAGCCAUGCGGUAUGAUAGAGCAUAUACUGUCUGAGUCUUUUGAUAAUCCAUGCUAAUGAACAACACAUUUUCUCCAAUGAGGAAUACUUGGAUUCAACUCUGUGAACUUCUUACUCAUAUAGUAAAUAGCUCUCACCUUUCAGCUAUACUCAUCUUGUUGUCUCAACACACAUCCCAUUAAAUUUUCACAUAUUAUCAAGUACAUAAUUAAAGGUUUUUCUGGAACAGGUGGCACCAACACUAGAGGGUUUGACAAGUAUUGCUUAAUUUUAUCAAAUGCCUCUUGACAUUUCUCAUUCCAUUUUCUAGGAUUAUUCUUACGGAGAAGCUUAAAUAUAGGAUCACAUUUGUAAGUAAGCUGAGAGAUAAAUCGAAAAAUGUAGUUCAAUCUCCCUAGAAAACUUCAAACUUUUUUUGGUGUGCUGAGAGGUGACAAAUUUUGAAUGACCCGUAUCUUAUCUGGAUCAUCUUCAAUUCUUUUUUCACUGACUACAAAGCCCAAGCAACUUUCCUGACUUUACCUCAAAUGUGCACUUGGCUGGGUUUAAUUUGAGUUGAAAUCUUCUCAACCUCUCAAAUAACUUUCUGAGGCUGGUGACAUGAUCUUUAUCCUCACAAGACUUUGCAAUCAUAUUGUCUACAUACACCUUGAUCUCUUUGUGCAUCAUAUCAUAGAAGAGUGUUACCAUAGCCCUUUGAUAUAUUGCCCCAGCAUUUUUUAACCUAAAAAGCAUGACCUUGUAGCAAAAGGUUCCCCACAUAGUCACGAAAGUAGUCUUUUCCAUAUCAUUUGCAACCAUUUUUAUCUGAUUAUACCUUGAGAAACUAUCCAUAAAGGAGAAAAUUGAAUACCUAGUCGUAUUAUCUACCAAUGUGUCGAUAUGAAGCAAAGAAAAGUUAUCCUUUGAACUAGCCUUAUUCAAGUCAUGAUAAUCUACACACAUUCGUACCUUUCUAUUUUUCUUAGGAACUGGUACUAUAUUGGCUACCCACUCUGGAUACUUAGCCACUUAUAGAAAACCUACGUCAAAUUGUUUCUUCACCUCUUCUUUGAUCUUUAGUAACAUUUCAAGCUUCAUCCGUCUCAGUUUCUAUUGAACUGACUUACAUUCUGACUUUAAGGGUAAUCUGUGCUCCACUAUCUCUGUGCUUAGCCCUGACAUAUCUUGAUAAGACCAAGCGAACACAUCUACUAAUUUUCGAAGUAAGUUUGCCAAUCGUUGUCUGUCUCUUGAUGAAAGUGAAGUGCCAAUCCUGACAUCUUUCUUAUUCUUUUUAUCUCCUAAAUUCACUAAGUCAACUAUCUCCUGAUGAGGCUCAAUUAGUUUACUUUCUUGUUCAAUCAAUCUCAUUAGGUCCGGAGGUAUAACAUAUUCCUUAAAAUUCUCUUCAUUGUCAAGUUCAUCAGUGUUAAUUGAAUUCUCAAAGCUAACAUCUUGAUUAUUAUCAUGAUUAUCUUCAUGUUCAUUUAAAGACCUGAAAUUGAAUAAAAUGGGAUAUGUUGACAAUAUGUGCUUGAAAAGAUGAAAAUAAUGAAGACAUAAGAAAAAAUGAAUGAAAAUGCAUCCUUCCUAAUUUUUAUUAAAAAUAAUAAAAGAUAAAUGGACCAAACAAGAAAGAUUACCCCAAUGCCUUGAGCAAUAGCUAUUGGGAUAUUACAAUUACAUUGUAUUAGUCUCAAAAGUCAUAGGCAUCUCGAAGGCACUCCAAUUAUUCAACUCAUAAUCUGGCAAACAAAGGCGAACCCACUCUUCUUGAUUAAGCCCCAUUUUAUCUUCAACAGCAUUAAUGGUUAACUGGGUAAAAGUGUUUUUCACACUUUUUUUCAUAUCUGGGUACAUGAAUCUUUCAGGUCUAAAAGUCUCAUAUAGGUGUGGGAUAACCAUUAGUCUUGCUGUCUUUCCUACUGGCCUUCUUUUGACCUCCCAUUCUGUCAUCUCAUAGCCUAGGCCUAACUUGUCGUUAUUGUCUAUCACCGUUGGGGGUUCCUUUAUUCCCUGCAAGUUUUUACCCAGCCCUAGUCCUAGAUACCAGCCCUUGUUGAUGACUUGGCUCAUCAUUAUCCUUGAAAAAGAUUGAUUUUAAAAUCUUUCACCUAUAGAAUUAACCAAUUCAAAAUAUCGAUAGAAGCAUUCUAAUGCUUCUUCGAUAGCCUCUACAUAUGGAGUAUUCAAUGGUUGGGUCACUAGCAUAUUUUUUUCCCCAACUACCACUACUAGUUUACCUUCUACAUUAAACUUGAUCUUUUGGUGCAAGGUAGAGGGCACAGCUCCUGCCAUGUGAAUCCAUGGCCUUUCUAAUAGACAGUUGUAGGAUGAAGAGAUAUCCAUCACUUGAAACUUCACAUUAAAAGUGCAUGGCCCAAUUUGUAAGGGCCUCUUAAUAUCUCUCAAGACUUCUCUUCUGGUCUCAUCAAAAGCUCUCACAAUCAUCUAAUUGUCUUUCAUAUAAGAGUAAUCAAUGGGUAGCCUCGCCAAAGUGGACAUAGGCAUGACAUUGAUGGCAGAACCAUUAUCAAUAAGGACCUUGGCUAUGAUAUGGUUCUUGCACUUGAUUGUGAUAUGCAAAACCUUGGCAUUUCCCUUUUCCUCUAAGAGAAUCUCAUCAUCGCUGAAUGAAAUGUGAUUUGGCAUGACUAGAUUUCUAGUCAGGUGGUUCACAUAUUCAACAGAUACAUUAUGUGCCAUGUAUGCCUGAUUCAACACUUUCAGCAAAGUAUUUUGGUGUGGCUCUGAGUUUAGCAGUAGUGAUAGUAAUGAUAUUCGAGCUGGCAUUUUAUUCAACUGUUCAACAAUCGAAUACUCAUUAUGUUUUACCAGCUUCAAGAAUUCACAAACCUCUCUUUUUGAUAUCGACUUCAGACGAUCUUCUUCAGGUUCUACUUUAAGAUUAUUCCAUUCUUCUCCUUUUUUAGCCUUUUCUCUUUUAGCUUUCUCUAACAUUUCUGAAGUGUAGCACUUCUCGCUUCGGGUAAUGCCCCCUACACCAGCUAUAUUGGAAGCGUCAGCUUUGGAAACAUCAUUUUCUUGCCUCUGAACUACAAUAUCACAGCCAUAUUUUCAGGGUACAGCUUUGUCAUCCUUGUAUAAGAAAAGAGUCGAAACUUUAAAAGUUACCAACAUGGGAAUGAGUUUGUCUAUUAUAGACUUUGGCUUGUUCCCAUAAUGAAUUGUUACUGGCUUUAGAAAUAGCUUUGCAAGCUUAUUAGUCAUGGACACCUCAACACUUUUUGAGUCUUCUCUUCUUUUAUAGACCUCAAUUUGGUAUGAAUCCAAGAGUUUUUGCACCACUUAGUGAAACUGUUCACAAGUUUUAAUAAAAUGGCCUAUUACCCCACUAUGAUAUUUACAAAUAGUACCGACUACAUAUACUCCAUGAUAACUGUGUGGACUCACUAGUUGUAUCAUGUCAGUUUUCCAUAAAAUAUCAAACAGCUGACUAAAAGGUAUCUUAAUAUCUGCCAUUCUUUUCUUCACAUGGCACUCCUGUUCUUCACUUAUAGCAUUCACAUUAUGAUACGACAAGGGAUUGUCACUAACAUUUGGUGCAGUCACCCUUUCCAUAUCAAAGUAAAUAAUUUCAUCAUUGAUCAACCGUUGCACUUUGUGUUUUAGGGCAGUGUAAUUUUUGGUGGAGUGACCAGCGAUCCCAUAAUGGUAGUCACAAUGAGCUGUGAGAUCGUACCAUUUGGGAUAAGGUGGCUUAAGGGGUUUCAAUUUACUAGGAGCAAUCAAAUGACUGUUGUAAAGCUCCUUAUAUAAUUCUAUAUAAGUCAUUGGAAUUGGGUCAAACACAGUUUCUCACGGGUAGUUCGUUGCUCCCAUGAACCACCAAUAGGGUUAGUUGGGUGAUUUUGGGGUCUUGGGAUAGGUUGAGUGUUGGGACUAUAUAUGGUAUUUGAUAUGUUUGAGGCUUAUAAGAGGUUUGAUAUGUUUGAGGGUAAGGUGAAUGUACAAAUGGUUGGUAUGAGUAAGUGGAAGUGUUAUUUACAGUAGGGUAAUAUAACGGGUAUCCUGAUGAUGAGUAGGGUUGAUAGCCCUCAAAUUGUUAUUUAUCAAAGCUCACAGCCUGAGCUUCGAUCUCUUUCUUCUUCAGGACUCUCUUGCUAAAUGCUUCAUUUUCUUUCAACUUACUAUUCUUGAUGGCACUCUCGAAAUUUCUCCCGAAAUUACCAUAUCAGUAAAAUUUUUUGUUGUAUUUUCUAUCAUCUUUUCAUAAUAGGGAGGUUUUAAAGUGCUAACAAAAAGUACUGUGGUCUCUUUUUCAGUCAGAGAAGGUUGUACUUGAGAAGCGAUAUCCUUUCACUUUUGGGCAUACUCUUUAAAAGAUUUAUUUACCUUUUUCUUCAGAUUCUGUAAAGAUAAACAAUCAGGAGCCAAAUCGAUAAUAUGUCGAUAUUGAUUGAUAAAGUCAUGAGUCAUAUUGCUCCAAGAGCGAAUGCAAAUUCUAUCUAGCUGCACAUACCACCUGACAGUAGAGCCUGUAAGGCUAUCCUAAAAGACAUGCAUCAAGGGUUUUUCAUCAUGAGCAUGGGUUGCCAUCUUCCGACAAUACAUGGUGAUGUGGGUUUUGGGGCACUUCAUACCAUCAUAUUUUUCAAAUUUUGGUACUUUGAACUUAAGAGGAAUGAUCACAUCAGGGACUAAGCAAAGCCCAGCAGCAUCAAUUGAACCAUAGAAACCAAAUUCUUCCAUAACCUGUAGCCUUUGUUCUAACAUACUAAUCUUGGAGCUUUCCUGAGUUUCCACUCUUAUCUUUUUUUUUCCUUCUCUUUCAAAUCAUCUAGAUCAGGAAUUGGUUCUACUGCUUUUUCAAUAAAGACAAGAUUUACAUAGUUGUGAUAAUGCCCCAGGUUGGAAACUGAUGGCAUUUCAGGAUAUGUCGGAUAUGCGAAGUGUUGUGGUGGAACCUCUUGUGCAGACUGGGCUUGAGGUGGGCCAAAACUUGGAGGAUACAAAGGAUUAGCCACUUCUUGCAAUAGAGAAACUUGUUGGCUUGUAUUUUCUUCAACUCUUUUUCCCUUAUUCAUCUUAUUAAGAGCAUCCAAAAUCUUGUUCAAUUCAUUUUCAAUCUUCUCCUGUGCUUUUUCUAUCUUUUUAAAUCUGUAAGAAUUUUUUUACUCCAUUUGUCUGGCUCUGGCUCUUGUGUUAUAUCGAUGGGUAAAGUUGCUUGGUGGGGCUAUCCUUGAACCUUUAGCACCACAAUUAUGAUUAGAAAUGCUAUGCUAUACUUCAUGUAUGAUACAUUGAUGCACGAAUGAAAUGUACAUUUUCAUAGAUGAAAUCUAAUAUGAAAUGGAUGCAAAUGAUAAUGUUAAAACAUGAUCAUACGGAUGCACAAAAUCAGACAAACAACAUGGUUAGUUUCAUAGAUGAAAUGAAAGUGAUACCGAUGCAUAAUGUUACAUAUGAUAAUGAAAAUGAUGCAUAAAGUCAAACAAUCAAAAUGAUUAGAUAAACACCUUUUUUGUGUCCUAGUUUCAGUGUAUAUCUAUCAUUAGGUAAAAAAAGCUCUAUCCUAGGUUUAGGCACUUCUAAGGUUCACUAUAUGUGGUUCAAGGCUAAAGUCUAAAGGUUUCCAAAUUGCUCUUUACUUCAUUGUCCAUCACAAACUAGUAAGGCACCCUAAUUUUCACCCAUUACAGGCUAUAAGCGGAAAAGGUUCAAUUUGAAUGAGAGUAUUUUGCUAGCCACUGCAGAGGCAUUAAACCUCACAAAAGUAAUAGGUACUUUACUCCUUCCUAAAGGGACAGAGCUCGGGUAUAGAGCUCAUGUUAUGCAUAUGCAUAUGAAUGACAUAAUUAAUAAAGUAAAUAAACAUUAAUGAAUAAAUAAAACAUAUACAAAAAGGUUCAAUUUUAUUAGGCUUUUGGAUAACACAAAUUUUUUUACUGGCCUGACUCUCAGACGUCCCCAGUAGAGUCGUCAAGCUAUCAUAAAGUCUAAAUCCGAGGAUCUAUCACUAGACAUUGACUUGAAGGAGUUGCCACCAAUCUUUUUUAUCUAGGUGCGAUUAGUCACCUAAGGAAUCUAUCUUUUUAGGGAACACCUAAGUUUAAGGGUCCCUACAAGAAUAGGUUUGGGUCUACUAACCAGAACAAGAUUCGAGAGUUUGAUUAUGUAUGAGAAAGGUUAUAGAACCCUCACAACGCCCAUCAAAAGAUGGUACCAGCUUAAUUUUGUGUUAUCCAAUAAGCCUUAAAAUUUUACCAAGUAAUUAGUUGUUGAAAAUUAUUCUCAAUUGACUCUAAUACUUUUAACAAAAAAUUGAAAAAAUCCCCUCACCUCAAGAGUAUGUAAGAAAACUACUGUUUCACUUGCAGGGGCUCUAUCGUCGGAUUAUUUAACAAAAAAAAUCCAAAGAAAUAAAAAAAGAAAAGAAAAAUGAUCGCUUUUGUACAAGGGAAAAUUGAUACUUUCAACUUUUCUUAAAAAAAAAACUUUUUUUGAAAAUUUAUUUCUAAGAAAAAUUGAUACUUUCAACUUUUCCUCAAAAUUUUUUUUUUUUGAAAAUUUACCUUUAAGAAAAAUUGAUACUUUCAACUUUUCCCAAAAAAUAUUUUUUUUUUGAAUUUUUUUAAAAAAAUAAUAAAAUAAAAUAAACAAAGUAAAAAUGAAAAUAAAUAAAAAGAUAAAUAAAAAUAAAAAUAUUAAACAAUUCUAAUAUAAUAAUAAUAACAAUAAAUAAAUAAAUAACGAAAAAAAAAACCUAAGAACGGCUCGACUUGCGGCUCGGCUCGAAUGACUGAAGGAAGAAAAAAUGGCUUGGAGACGCAGCUCAGGGGUGUUGGCUCGGCUUGGCUAACGGCUUGAAACGCGGGUCGCAUGCGAGUCAAAAACGGGUCGACGUUCGGGUCGAGUCGGAUCUUGGCGAAACGCGUGGAUCCUCUAGGUUACUUAACGCAAAAACGACGUCGUUUUGAGAGGGUAUAUAAGGCUGAUUCCUUCAUUUUUUCAGCAGAACCCUUCUUCUCUUCUCUCUCUUCCCUUCUUUCUUCUCUCCCUUCUCUCUAGAAUCUGAAGAACUCCAGUUGAAUAUUCACUGGAUUCUAAAAAUUUUUGUCGAAAUCUAGGUUUUUCGUUGGAAGUUCAUCGAAAAAUUGGUCAGUUUUUGGAAAUUCAUGUCGAAAACUGGGCAGCUAACCAAAAAAUUCAAACUUGGUCAAAAAAGUCACCAAAAAAUUUAACUUUCGUCGAAAAAUUCAACCGGAAUCUAAAAAUUUUCCAAAAAUUUCCAGAAAAAAAAUCUCAAAAAAUCUUCCAAAAAUUUCUCACCGAUCCCUAGAGCUAUUCUAACAUCUCUAAACCUUUUUUCAGCUUUCAAACCUUCUCUGUGUGUUUUUUUUUUAGCCAGUAACUCUUUUCUCUAUAUGUUUUCCUUUGAUCCAAGGGUCCUUUUUAUAGGGAUUGAUCAUAAGAGUUUUUGAUCAAUCCUAACUUCUCUUCGGAUUGGGAUUCAAUCAUUGAAUCCAAUAUGGACUCUAAUUGAAUCUCAAUUCACAGUGAGAUUCCUCCAAUACCAACCCAAUCUUCAACCGAAAAAAAAUCAAAAAAAUAAAAAAUUAAAUAAAAAAUAUUAAUAUAUAAUUAAAUGAAGAUAAUCAGAUAAACUAAAAAAUUAACAGAUAAAUUAACAAAAAUAAUAGAUAAAUAUAUAACUAGAUAAAUAAAAAUAUAUAUGAAUAUUAACACAAAAGAAAGAAAAAAAAUAAAAAAUAAAAAAUAAAAAUAAAAAUAUAUAUUAAUAAAUAGUAAUAAUAAAUAAAUAAAUAACAAAUACAUAAGAUACAAAGAAAAAUAUAUAUAAAAUAUAAAAUAAUAAUAAAAAAAAAUAUAAAAUACAACAUAAAAGUAAAAAUUAGGCAUACUCAUUUAGAUCAAGCUCAAUUGAUUCGAGUCUGAACCAUAUUUAGCGUCUACAAGGUGUAUUAAUUAAUUGUUAGUAUUUUGGCUCUUUUAAUUUCUGGGUUUUUAAUUGUUGGGUUUUGAAUUUUGAUAAAG
rnacentral:lncRNA from 1 species